AUGUAAACUAAAAGCCAGGCACCAUGGAAAGAGGCUCAAGGCCACAGGCGCACCUCAAGAUAACUCAGUACCAGUAAUGGUCCAGUGGAUCACUGAAUGCUGCACCUGAGCUGGCCUAAGAACGCCUCAGUGUUGCUUACUGAUGAACAGAAUUGGAAAUCCUCACACUACAACAGGUGACCGUGGAGACAGUCAACCCUGCCAUUCAACAUGGGAGAAAGGACUGCUCACUUGACUUCUCAGGCUAAGAUUCUACCAACAAGGCAAUCUGUUUUUAUAGUAAUGAGAAUCCAACCCAAGCCUUGCCCCUGGCAGACAAGAGCACUAACAUCAAGUUAUAGUCCAAC
rnacentral:lncRNA from 1 species